UACGUAGGUGACCAGCGUUGUCCGGAUUUACUGGGCGUAAAGAGCGCGCAGGCGGUCGUUCAAGUCGAGUGUGAAAGCCCCCGGCUCAACUGGGGAGGGUCAUUCGAUACUGAUCGACUGGAAGGCAGGAGAGGGAAGCGGAAUUCCCGGUGUAGUGGUGAAAUGCGCAGAUAUCAGGAGGAACACCGGUGGCGAAGGCGGUUCUCUGGGCAUUACCUGACGCUGAGGAGCGAAAGCGUGGGGAGCAAACAGG
rnacentral:rRNA from 1 species